rnacentral:lncRNA from 1 species
GGUUUUGGCACCUUUAUGAGGCCUCCCAGCAGCACAGGAGCUCUAAGGGGCACGCUCUGCAGUUGAGCUAUUUGCAGAGCUCCAUGAUCGCUCAAAGCCGAGCACGCGCACGGGUUUGCUACUGGCACCAGCACAAGGCUUUAGACAGGCACUUCCCACGGCUGAGUUCUAGGCAUCCCCUUUUUGAAACGUGUUCUCUCCACCCUGCAAGGGUGGGGUGAGAAAUCUCACUUUCGAAGGGCUUGCAAGGAGGAAGAGAGUCGGCGCCUUGCGGAUUCCCCGGCCGCGCUUCAAGGUUCACACGCCGCGUGGCAGCUCGGAUGCAGCCCGGUUCCGAGGCGGUCGGCGGUCGAGACUGGGGCCUCGAGCCGAGAAGCGAAGAACAAAGCGGCCGCGUUAGCCCGCCGCCCCGAGGGACAGCCCGGGCGCGCCCGCCGCUCCGCCCACA